CCGCACAAGGUUUGACUGGGAUACUCAUCAAAUAAUACUGAAAACCGAGAAUGCUUACGCACUCCAAUGGCGGGCCGCGCCCUGUGAAGGGUAGUCAGCGAUGACCGGCGGAUUACAAAGGAUGCGGGCGCUCAAAACUUAUUUACUCGGAGUUUCAUCACAUCACCGAAGUGCGGCUUUUU
rnacentral:sRNA from 1 species